AUAAGCGACGGUGAAAGAUUGACGUUGGAGCACCUAUGUAACUAUGUUAACCUCCUGUGGCUCUGAUAACGAAUUUGCCGCCGUGCAGUUUCAGUUGCUAUGCCGUUGUAGGCCUGUGAAAGAUCAAGGAAGCACAACCAUAAACUAGGGUUUCGAGAGCUAAGAUCUAAUCAUAACGAACGAUGCCGCACAGAACCCGGCCUAUGACUGCACUUUUGGUUUUCACAGGACUUAAUGCAGUUUUAGUGUCUACCAUUGGUCCAGUGUAUGAUUUUGUGUGCUUCCUUCCUUACUGGGAAAGACGGAGAGAACAUUUUCAACAGGAUCGCAAAGCUGCUUUAGGAAAUGGUUCUCCACCCACGCUGAAGAGUACUUGAGGUCAGAAUAUUCAAGUCAACAGCACUUUUAGCACAUUUGUAUUGUAUCUUGAUAUGUGGUAGCUGUUUUCCUUACGAGUAUUGAGGGAAACGUAAGUUUGAAUAUAAGAAUAUCUUCGUGUCUA